CCAAAAGGCUAUUUAAAGGCUUUUGUUCAGAUGCAGGGCUGAAAGGUCUAAAAAGGGGGCUAAGAUACCUAAUAUUAGUGUUCCAUAUCCUUCUGACGGCCUAUUACGACCCGGCUGUGCUGAUAUGGUUACACCCAGUGGCCUUCAGCAGCGGUAGUGAGAUGACGGUUGAGCUACAAUAUGCUAAACAUAUUAUAUUGUGAAGAUGGAAGGGGAAAAUAAAGGCAUGCAGUUUCAGAUCCAUAAAUCUGGACUUCCCUGCAGAGAGAGAUGAAACUGCCUCCUAAGGAGCUGGCAUGGGCAGACAGUGGGAGCCUCAUAUCUCAUAUCAGCAGCACAUGGACAUCCUGCAGUUUGAGUUAGAGAUGGACAACCUUACCGCUCUCUUAGUCGCUCUCUAUGUUUAUGUUUAACUUCCAG
ensembl:lncRNA